GAUGAACGCUGGCGGCGUGCUUAACACAUGCAAGUCGAACGGUGAAGCUCCAGCUUGCUGGAGUGGAUCAGUGGCGAACGGGUGAGUAACACGUGAGCAACCUGCCCCUGACUCUGGGAUAACAGCCGGAAACGGCUGCUAAUACCGGAUAUGCACCAUGAACGCAUGUUCUGUGGUGGGAAAGAUUUUUCGGUUGGGGAUGGGCUCGCGGCCUAUCAGCUUGUUGGUGAGGUAAUGGCUCACCAAGGCGUCGACGGGUAGCCGGCCUGAGAGGGUGACCGGCCACACUGGGACUGAGACACGGCCCAGACUCCUACGGGGGGCAGCAGUGGGGAAUAUUGCACAAUGGGCGAAAGCCUGAUGCAGCAACGCCGCGUGAGGGAUGACGGCCUUCGGGUUGUAAACCUCUUUUAGCAGGGAAGAAGCGAGAGUGACGGUACCUGCAGAAAAAGCGCCGGCUAACUACGUG
rnacentral:rRNA from 1 species